GGGUUGUGAGGUUAAGCGACUAAGCGUACACGGUGGAUGCCCUGGCAGUCAGAGGCGAUGAAGGGCGUGCUAAUCUGCGAUAAGCGCCGGUAAGGUGAUAUGAACCGUUAUAACCGGCGAUACCCGAAUGGGGAAACCCAGUGUGACUCGUCACACUAUCAUUAACUGAAUCCAUAGGUUAAUGAGGCGAACCGGGGGAACUGAAACAUCUAAGUACCCCGAGGAAAAGAAAUCAACCGAGAUUCCCCCAGUAGCGGCGAGCGAACGGGGAGGAGCCCAGAGCCUGAAUCAGCAUGUGUGUUAGUGGAAGCGUCUGGAAAGGCGCGCGAUACAGGGUGACAGCCCCGUACACAAAAGCGCAUGUGCUGUGAGCUCGAUGAGUAGGGCGGGACACGUGGUAUCCUGUCUGAAUAUGGGGGGACCAUCCUCCAAGGCUAAAUACUCCUGACUGACCGAUAGUGAACCAGUACCGUGAGGGAAAGGCGAAAAGAACCCCGGCGAGGGGAGUGAAAAAGAACCUGAAACCGUGUACGUACAAGCAGUGGGAGCCCCACCACUAAGCCAGUGGUGAACUCCACAUACGCAUCCUUUGCUGAGGAUACGGUUAACGGAGCGAAAGCGACGUUCAACCGCAAAAGAAGCAGAGGGGGCUUAGUGGUGGGGUGACUGCGUACCUUUUGUAUAAUGGGUCAGCGACUUAUAUUCUGUAGCAAGGUUAACCGCAUAGGGGAGCCGGAGGGAAACC
rnacentral:rRNA from 1 species